ACUCUGUGUUAAGGUCAAUGGUCACACGUUCCUCCAUACACAAACUCUGUGUUGAGGUCAAUGGUCACAUGUUCCUC